AUUGAACGCUAGCGGGAUGCCUUACACAUGCAAGUCGAACGGCAGCACGGACUUCGGUCUGGUGGCGAGUGGCGAACGGGUGAGUAAUGUAUCGGAACGUGCCUAGUAGCGGAGGAUAACUACGCGAAAGCGUAGCUAAUACCGCAUACGCCCUACGGGGGAAAGCAGGGGAUCGUAAGACCUUGCACUAUUAGAGCGGCCGAUAUCGGAUUAGCUAGUUGGUGGGGUAACGGCUCACCAAGGCGACGAUCCGUAGCUGGUUUGAGAGGACGACCAGCCACACUGGGACUGAGACACGGCCCAGACUCCUACGGGAGGCAGCAGUGGGGAAUUUUGGACAAUGGGGGAAACCCUGAUCCAGCCAUCCCGCGUGUGCGAUGAAGGCCUUCGGGUUGUAAAGCACUUUUGGCAGGAAAGAAACGUCGCGAGUUAAUACCCCGCGAAACUGACGGUACCUGCAGAAUAAGCACCGGCUAACUACGUGCCAGCAGCCGCGGUAACAC
rnacentral:rRNA from 1 species